UGGCAGUACGAUAACCUCACUGAGCGGUAGGGCCUCCCGUCCCAGAAUCCUGCAGGACCCAUCGAUCAUGGCCCCACGGGUCCUGCUCCUGCGUGGGUUCCAAUUCCAAGUCGCCCACCGUGACGCCCAUCGAGUCAACCGAACCCAAGCCGUGUGGCGACUGGCGAGGCGAGUGCCCCAGUUCCUAACUCCGGUGGGCGCGCUCCCACCGCCGCGCGGCUCAAAACCCGCCCUCAGCCUCCCGCGCUCCAGUCCACACGGGAGCGGGUGGUGUCGUCUGAAGCGGCGCGAUCAAGGAGUCUUCGGGCGCUCCGGACGUAACGUGCUGGCGGUUGCUUAUCUCCGGAUGUAUAUAUAAGCGGAAAUGUUCUCCUUGUUCUAUGGCCUGUGGAAGUAUGUGUUCGCCAAGGACGAGUUCCGUGUUCUGAUUCUUGGUGUUGACAGAGCUGGCAAGACGACUUUGCUGGAGAAGUUGAAAUCGAUAUAUCUCAAGGGGGAAGGACUUCCGCCUGACCGUGUCGUUCCAACAGUUGGGCUCAACAUUGGCCGCAUCGAAGACGCAAAGGCAAAACUUGUUUUCUGGGAUCUAGGUGGUCAGGUUAGCCUACGAACAAUCUGGGAGAAAUACUAUGAAGAGGCCCAUGCCAUAAUGUACGUUAUUGACGCUGCCACAGCAUCGUCAUUUGAAGAUUCCAAAUCUGCUCUGGAGAAGGUUAUUCGCCAUGAACAUCUGAGAGGAGCACCACUCUUGAUAGUUGCAAACAAACAGGAUUUACCUGGAGCCAUUGAUGAGGAAGAAUUGGCUAAAUUUCUGCAUAAAGAACUGGAUGAGAGGCCAUAUACAUUUCAGGCUGUAUCUGCAUAUGAUGGCAGGGGGAUCAAAUCUGGCAUAGACUGGCUGGUGGAACAAAUGGAAAAAAGCAAACGUACCGAGACACUGCAGGCUCGUGCUGGCGUAGCUGGACAAAUUUAGAAUGGGGUGAAUUUGUUAAAGAACAAAGCAUUGGAUAGGACGGCUUCCUUCGUAUCGCGUAAGCAGCCAUUUGCUGCAUUCCGGGAUUAUCGUUCCAGGUCGCCCAGAGUGCUGCAAGAAAUGUUUGGCUGGUUGCUCCUGUGGUGGUGGUGAUUGGUGAGGCGAUUCGUUUGGUAUUAUUGAGGUUGCAUUCAUAUGUACCUAAAGGUCGCAAGCAUACAUGUCUAUAUGAUGCUUUUCAAUUUUCGUAGCAAACUAGUAGCUUCAAUACAGAGGAUCAAAGAGAGCCGUGUUCUUUAACUUGUUUGUGAUAAAAAAAAAGGAAGAAAGGAAAGCGAAGAAGGAAUUAUUGGUGCAUCUGAAAGUCUUUAUUGCAUAUGUCUAAACCAUUUUAACC